rnacentral:rRNA from 1 species
UACGUAGGGUGCGAGCGUUGCCCGGAAUUAUUGGGCGUAAAGGGCUCGUAGGCGGUUUGUCGCGUCGGGAGUGAAAACACCGGGCUUAACUCGGUGCUUGCUUUCGAUACGGGCAGACUAGAGGCAUGCAGGGGAGAACGGAAUUCCUGGUGUAGCGGUGAAAUGCGCAGAUAUCAGGAGGAACACCGGUGGCGAAGGCGGUUCUCUGGGCAUGUCCUGACGCUGAGGAGCGAAAGUGUGGGGAGCGAACAGG